GAUGAACGCUAGCUACAGGCUUAACACAUGCAAGUCGAGCGGCAGCACAGUGUAGCAAUACAUGGGUGGCGACCGGCGCACGGGUGCGUAACGCGUAUCCAACCUUCCCGUUACUCUUGGAUAGCCUUCCGAAAGGGAGAUUAAUACAAGAUGGUAUUCAAAUUCCGCAUGUUAUUUGAAUUAAAGAUUUAUCGGUAACGGAUGGGGAUGCGUGACAUUAGGUAGAUGGCGGGGUAACGGCCCACCAAGGCGACGAUCGUUAGGGGUUCUGAGAGGAAGGUCCCCCACACUGGAACUGAGACACGGCCCAGACUCCUACGGGAGGCAGCAGUGGGGAAUAUUGCACAAUGGGGGAAACCCUGAUGCAGCAACGCCGCGUGAGGGAAGACGGUUUUCGGAUUGUAAACCUCUGUCCUCUGUGAAGAAGAAAGUGACGGUAGCAGAGGAGGAAGCCACGGCUAACUACGUG
rnacentral:rRNA from 1 species